CCUCCAGCUGCUUUUUCCUCCCUGCUGACUAGCGCCAUGGUUCAUGAGAUCUUUUCCGGUCGGGUUAUCCUCUAUUGUUUUGAUCGUGUUCCAACAUCAUUUUUGCUCAUGGUUCACCAGAGAUGGCUGAGAAAAAAAAAGGGAUUGAUGGUAUGAUUUCGCGACUAUUGGUCCUAUACGUCCUUUAGUUUUGAUUUUUCUUAUAUGUCCGACAGUCUGAUUGAUUUAUGUUUUGCAAAUUUUAUGCUUAUGCAUCCGGAUGUGGGUAUUAUUAAAAUUAUUUUAAGCUAAUUAUAAUCAUGUGUAUGCGGAAUCUGACCUAAUUGAUAAGACCCCUAUCGAUUUUUCAUUCGUCCUAGUUCGAUCAAUUGACUGAUUAGUUUCAAUUGAUUGGUUUUGAUCGAUCGGUUGAUUAUAUUAAUUACAUUUUCAAUUCUUCUGUUACACUCUUAUUCUUUUAAUUGUUCGUUUGGCCUUCCAUGUCCCUUACUGAUAUAGAAGAAUUGUUUUUAUCUCUCAUUCGUGCGAUUAAUAAUGAGAGUCGUUUCCUUCAUGUCACCUCAUUCUCGAAGCUGAAUCACACUCACCCCACGCUUUUCACAGCCGUCUCCCCUCUGUCAUCAUCAUUCUCAGCUGUAUUUGUUCCAGGUAGUCACCAUGCCAUCUGCAAACUCUCCAGUCCUGCAAACCACCACCCUGGCCGAACAGGAUCCUGCAUUCCUCACCUUGAAAGAUUUUCAUCUCAGAAAUGGUGUAGGAUCAUGGGUGACCAGAGUCAGCAUCACUCGGAUGUGGGACGAGGUUGACUUCAUGAGAACUAACGAGGUUACUAGCCUAGAUUUUCUCCUACUAGAUGACUCAGGUGAUCUAUUACAUGCAAUCGUUCAGAAAAAAUUCAUAUGGAAAUUUGAGGCACUGCUACAAAAAGGGAUGCUACUUGGUCUUAACAAUUUGAAAUUUUCUCCGGAAAAAAAAAAAAUUCUGCUCUGCACAGAACGACUACCGUGCAUAUUUUAACUGGAAUACUGAUGUUACUCCUCCUGAGACCUCCACCUCGGCUAUUCCUCGCCACAAAUUCAUAUUCACAUAGUUUGAGGCACUUGCAUAUGCUAAUGACAACAUCUACCUUACUGAUGUCAUUGGUGUUUUGACCGGCCACACAAACUUGCAGCAACUGAAGCGAAAUUCUUGCAACACGUGUUUCAUGCGCGAAUUGACUCUAGAAAACUUAAGUGGCCUGAAACUUAAGGUCACACUAUGGGGUGACUAAACUUCUGAAUUAACAAGAAACUUUGAAGCCAAUGGAGUGAAUCCACAACCCAUUGUGGUUGUUGUAGCUGGUGCCUAUGUCAAGCAAUAUCUAGGCAAGGCUUCGCUUUCCUCAACCAAUGCGACCAAAAUUUACUUCUGACGUAGACCUACCAGAGGUGUUGCAUAUCAAGCAAAGGUCUUCUCACCGAACCCUACCACGUGAGAUCACACUCCCUUCUAGAGUUGGGUACUAUCAGGCUAACCAAUCCAUUGCUGACAAUAGAAAGUCACUUUCUGAAUUAUUUAAAAUUAAGUGGGAAUCUGGGUACAAUGUACUAAACAAAAAAAUGUGUCGUGCCAAGGCUCUUGGUAUUUCCACCGAGAAAGGAUGGUACUACCUUGGGCGCCACAACUACACAACCAAAUUGGUGGGAAACACGGGCCACCAUUAGUGUCCUAGCUGCAAGGUCAAGAUAGAAGAACCAUUGCCCAGAUACCUUCUUAGAUUUGAAGUUGAAAACUCCACAGGUAGCGCAUUUUUUUUGUUGCCAUGGACACUGAAGUCCAAAAAUUGGUCCAGUUACCAGCCUUGGAUAUUGUGGCUAAGGGCGAGGUUCAUAGUUCACCGGCUGAUGAUGGCAUCCGUUGUGACAAACAUCAAAACAAUAAAAUAUAGCAAUUUUGAUGUUACCUAUAUUUGUAAUAUUCGUAAAUUUUUUGGAAAAUUUUUGGAGUGAAUAAAAACCGUAGUUGUUUACCGA